GUCUACAACCAUGCCACCUUGAGUGUACCUGAUCUAGUCUGAUCUUGGAAGCUAAGUAGGGUCAGCCUGGUUACUACUUGGAUGGGAGACCACCUAGGAAUAAUACCAGGUGCUGUAGACU
ensembl:rRNA 5S_rRNA 5S ribosomal RNA